GGGGAUGUAGCUUAAGUGAUAGAGCACCUGACUCUCAAGCAUGAGGUCCUGAGUUCAAACUCAGUGCCUCCA
rnacentral:tRNA from 1 species